GGGGAAUUGUUAGCAGGCUGCUUUGGAACACAAUAGUGAUAACAUUAAGUGUUCUUGCAUAGCAAGAACACUUAAUGUUAUCUCACAUAUAUAAUAUUAUUCUUAUUAUAGCCAAAUUUACCACACUAACUCCUCCCACUAUUUUUACACUACAUAGAUAGUAAUAUACCAAAACGUGCAGAUUGUUCCAUAUUGGAUUGCUAUUACUUUGUGGAACGUUUCACUGAAUGGUUCACGGAAUAUCGUCGUUCUUGUGGCAAAAUUGGUCCCAUAGGAAUGAAUAGCAAAAUGUUCAAAACUAGAGGGUGAGCUGGCAAAUGCCGAAAAAUCAGGACAUGAUUUCUAAACUGCCACCACUCCCUCAUUUUCAAGCCCACCUACACAAAUCUUAUAUCAAAACGUUCAGCUAUCCCUGCUGCCACUAAACAUGUCCACGGCUAAGCCAUAGUCUUGCUCCAUUUGUAGUAAUAUCAAAUCUACAGCUAUACAUGACCUCAUCAUCUCUAACUCACUCACAAUAC